rnacentral:rRNA from 1 species
AGGAUGUAGAGUCGCAUAGACAGCCAGGAGGUUGGCUCAGAAGCAGCCAUCCUUGAAAGAGUGCGUAACAGCUCACUGGUCUAGUGGUUCCGCGCCGACAAUGUAGCGGGGCUCAAGCACACCACCGAAGACGCGGCAGCGGCCUUUGUGGCCGUUGGGUAGGAGAGCGUCCCGCGUGGGGCGAAGCGGCCGGGGAACCGUGCCGUGGACCGCGCGGGAGUGAGAAUGCAGACAUGAGUAGCGAGAGACGGGUGAGGAUCCCGUCCGCUGGAUGACCAAGGGUUCCGGGGCCACGUUCGUCGUCCCCGGGUGAGUCGGGUCCUAAGGCGAGGCCGACAGGCGUAGUCGAAUGGAUGAACGGGUGGAUAUUCCCGUACCGGCGGCGUACCGUAAGAGCCGAACGGAUGAGUACUAACCUCCGGUCGCGUGGCGUCGUUCCCGUCGGGGUUCGGGGUCCGCGGUCGUUGGGAGCGUAGUCCUGGUAGGCUAGCGCACAGGGGUGACACGGAAUGGGAGCCGGCCGCGGAGGUGGUUUUCCGUGGUCAAGCACGCAGCCCGUCCCAUAGGCAAAUCCGUGGGACGCAUAGGGUGAGGUGUGAUGAUGGGCGUCCUUUGGACGCGAUAUCCGGUGGUCCAGGCCGUCGAGAAAAGCCUCGGCGCGAGGGGCGUCGCCGCCCGUACCCCAAACCGACACUGGUGGUCAGGUAGAGAAUACCAAGGCGAUCGAGCGAAUCCUGGUCAAGGAACUCGGCAAAUCACUCCCGUGCCUUCGGUAUAAGGGAGACCCCCUGGCGUGAAGAGGCUUGCCCUCGGAGCGUUGGGGGGUGGCACAGACCAGGGGGUAGCGACUGUUUACCAAAAACACAGGUGCAUGCGAAGGCGCAAGCCGCUGUAUAUGCACUGACGCCUGCCCGGUGCCGGAAGGUUAAGAGGAUCCGUCAGCCCCUUUUGGGGUGAAGCGGUGAAUUCAAGCCCCGGUAAACGGCGGUGGUAACUAUAACCAUCCUAAGGUAGCGAAAUUCCUUGUCGGGUAAGUUCCGACCUGCACGAAUGGCGUAACGACUUCCCCACUGUCUCGACCAGGAGCUCGGCGAAAUUGCAGUACGAGUAAAGAUGCUCGUUAAGCGCAGAAGGACGAAAAGACCCCGGGACCUUUACUAUACCUUGGUAUUGGCGUUAGGCGCGGAUUGUGUAGCAUAGGCGGGAGGCUUCGAAGCAUGGGCGCCAGCCCGUGUGGAGCCGCAAGGUGAAAUACCGCUCUGUUCUCGUUUGACGUCUCACCUCGAACAGUCAUCCUGUUCUGGGAUAGUGCCUGGCGGGCCGUUUAACUGGGGCGGUUGCCUCCCAAAGACUAUCGGAGGCGCUCAACCGUCCGCUCAGC